rnacentral:rRNA from 1 species
CCUACGGGCGGCAGCAGUGAGGAAUAUUGGUCAAUGGACGAGAGUCUGAACCAGCCAAGUAGCGUGAAGGAUGACUGCCCUAUGGGUUGUAAACUUCUUUUAUAUGGGAAUAAAACGUUCCACGUGUGGGAUUUUGUAUGUACCAUAUGAAUAAGGAUCGGCUAACUCCGUGCCAGCAGCCGCGGUAAUACGGAGGAUCCGAGCGUUAUCCGGAUUUAUUGGGUUUAAAGGGAGCGUAGGUGGAUUGUUAAGUCAGUUGUGAAAGUUUGCGGCCCAACCGUAAAAUUGCAGUUGAAACUGGCAGUCUUGAGUACAGUAGAGGUGGGCGGAAUUCGUGGUGUAGCGGUGAAAUGCUUAGAUAUCACGAAGAACUCCGAUUGCGAAGGCAGUUCACUGGACUGCAACUGACACUGAGGCUCGAAAGUGUGGGUAUCAAACAGGAUUAGAUACCCUUGUAGUC